rnacentral:rRNA from 1 species
GUAGGGUGCAAGCGUUAAUCGGAAUUACUGGGCGUAAAGCGUGCGCAGGCGGUUUGUAAGUCUGACGUGAAAUCCCCGGGGCUUAACCUGGGGAAUUGCGUUGGAGACUGCAAGGCUGGAGUCUGGCAGAGGGGGGUAGAAUUCCACGUGUAGCAGUGAAAUGCGUAGAGAUGUGGAGGAACACCGAUGGCGAAGGCAGCCCCCUGGGUCAAGACUGACGCUCAUGCACGAAAGCGUGGGGAGCGAACAGGAUUAGAUACCCUGGUAGUCCACGCCCUAAACGAUGUCUACUAGUUGUCGGGUCUUAAUUGACUUGGUAACGCAGCUAACGCGUGAAGUAGACCGCCUGGGGAGUACGGUCGCAAAGAUUAA